rnacentral:misc_RNA from 1 species
GUCACGCGCUUCCGUGUGAUUCGCUACAACCAGGGCGAUGACGAGGACGAGAUCACGUUCGGCGGACCGCUUCCGCAGCAGACGGUCGAGGGCUCGACCACAACAAUUUCCGCACCUGCCGUGCUGGCCGGCGUCGAAGCCCCGGAGUCUUCGCUCCUAGGGCUCACGGUCGGACCCAACCCCGCCCGUGCCGGACAAACGCUCAGGUUCGUGACCCGGAUACGCCCCGUGGGACCGCUCGGCAUCUUCGAUGUCAGCGGCCGCCGCGUGGCCCAGGCGCCGUUCGUCCACACCGGCGUUGGGCUCUGGGAAGCGCGCUGGGCCAGCCUUGCCGCCGAUGACACACCCCGCG